UGAAGUCACAAUGUGGACAUACAGUACUGGAGCUGUACAAGGUCCCAGAAAAUCAACUCCCUGUCCUUCCUUCCUUGUGCCACACCAGUCAGUAAUGUAGACCUAGCUAUAGCAUCCUGUCUUUACUCAGUCUCUCACACCCUGGCCUAUGUCAAGUCACACAGUUAUGCAGCCACACAGCAGUUACAUCAAGGACUGAUCUGACUGAAAGUUCAAUGCGAAGCAGGCCUCCCGUAAGAGACACUAUGGGAGGCCUACCUUGCAAGGUCAGCACUCCCAGGAAGAUGGGGGACUCUCCUGCCAAUGAGUGAGACCAGGACUCAAGUUCUAGCUAUACAACAUGAUGAAAACAUGAUGAGAACAUGGAGGAAUCAUGAGUGUGACUCAGUUACGUGCGGCUUAGUGGGGGCGAAUCUUUGCGACUUGGCAAAUCAACUGUAUUUAAGUUGGUAUUUCUCAAAAAAUAAAGUGGCUUCAUAUCCUAUGCAACCG
rnacentral:lncRNA from 1 species